rnacentral:rRNA from 1 species
UACGGAGGGUGCAAACGUUGCUCGGAAUUAUUGGGCGUAAAGCGUACGUAGGCGGUCCAGCAAGUCGGGUGUGAAAGCCCUCGGCUUAACCGAGGAAGUGCAUUCGAAACUACAGGACUUGAAUACUGGAGAGGAUUGCGGAAUUCCCGGUGUAGAGGUGAAAUUCGUAGAUAUCAGGAGGAACACCAAUGGCGAAGGCAGCUCGCUGGAACGGUACUGACGCUGAGGCGCGAAAGCGUGGGGAGCGAACAGG